rnacentral:rRNA from 1 species
AUUGAACGCUGGCGGCAGGCUUAACACAUGCAAGUCGAGCGGGGAAGUAUAGCUUGCUAUACGACCUAGCGGCGGACGGGUGAGUAAUGCUUAGGAAUCUGCCUAUUAGUGGGGGACAACAUUCCGAAAGGAAUGCUAAUACCGCAUACGUCCUACGGGAGAAAGCAGGGGAUCUUCGGACCUUGCGCUAAUAGAUGAGCCUAAGUCAGAUUAGCUAGUUGGUGGGGUAAAGGCCUACCAAGGCGACGAUCUGUAGCGGGUCUGAGAGGAUGAUCCGCCACACUGGGACUGAGACACGGCCCAGACUCCUACGGGAGGCAGCAGUGGGGAAUAUUGGACAAUGGGCGCAAGCCUGAUCCAGCCAUGCCGCGUGUGUGAAGAAGGCCUUUUGGUUGUAAAGCACUUUAAGCGAGGAGGAGGCUACUUGGAUUAAUACUCUAAGAUAGUGGACGUUACUCGCAGAAUAAGCACCGGCUAACUCUGUG